CCCUUGCUUGCCACUCAGGUCCUACAGGUCCUAAUAGAAAAAUAAAGACGUCAACAAGCCAAGAAGAAAGCAUCACCUCAGAGACUGAAACUGACAGGCAUUUGGCAGCUGCUGAACCUCUCUCAGCAACAUGUGCCAUCUUUGAGGUGGUGUCAGCACAGCAGUCGAGCAAAGCUGUGCAGGAGCUGCUCCCAGAGUUGUUUCCUGUUCUCCUGCAGCAGGUCAGCUGAACCUCAGGACAAAAGAUGCCUUUGCCAAGGAUAAGCAGCUGGAGCCUAUUCCAAAAAGACCAACAACAUACUGAGGGCAACCCUUGCCGGUUUUCUGUCCAAGCGUUAGAAUCUGUGCUUUCUAAAGCUGGGAAUGAGAGACUGGUGAGA